UGCUGUUAAAAAAAAUAUAAAGAAACCAAUAUCCAAGAUUUGGGUUUUUCAAAUGUUAAAACAGAAAUGUUGGAUUUCACCAAAAUAACACCAGUGGCAAAAUGGUCAAAAGUUGAACCGGAUAUGAGAAAGCCAUCCGUUGAAUAUAAAAUUACUAUUUAUCUGAGGGAAUGACCAUUUCACCCUUCUAUUCAGAACGAAUGACCGUUUUACCCAUAUAAUUAAAGUUGUUCCUUUGUAGCUUAAAUUAAUAGUCUAACUCAUUUGCUAAAAUGUGACAAUAUAAUAUAUGUAAACACAAUGUAGAGUUUUUUUUUGUUUUUACUCUUAUUUUAUACAUCAGUGAAUUAUAAUUAAUGAGUUAGUUAAAAAUCCAAUUUGAAAUUUGUUUGGGACCUUUUUAUUGCUCAAUCGAUUUCAUCCAGUUGAGUAACCAGAUGGUAUACCACCAUUUAUGAAAUGGUUACUAUAAAAAGUAAUAACUUCUUUCUCUUCUUUUCUUCCUCUUAGAAUAAAUUUUGAGAUCUUUAAAGAUUUUUAAAUAAGUACUUAACAAAAAUAAAAUAAGGAAAAAUAAAUUUGUAAAAAAGUUACCUUCAUAUUAACCUCAUCUUAAAUAAGAGGGUGUCUUGUACAACAUAUGAUGAAAACGAUUUUUAUUGUGAAAUACCAUUAUAGUUUCAUCCCUAGUUGGCAACUUGGCCCUUUCCUAAAAUGGAUUCAUUGUGGCAUUUUCACAAACACCUAAUAUGCAGUAAAUAGAAUAAAAAUAAUGAAGGUUGAAAUGAUUUGGUUGUUUUUUCUAUUGAUAUAGACAAACCUAUUUCAAAUAGAUAACCUUUUCAUCACCACCUGCAACUUUUCAUAAGAAAAAGGAACAUUUAAAUACUGUAUGGAAAAACGAUCAUAAUUGCCUCAAAAGAUUACCACCACAAACUCCUCUAGCUCCUGAUAAAAAUCAUAACUACAGAAAAUCUAAGCACAAAAAUAAAUAUGAAAGAAAACAAUAUCGAAAUGUAUUUUGAAAGAUGCAAGGAAGAUUUUGAGAAAUAGGUUGAGACCUGUAUUUGGGUUUGGGUGGUGUUGUUCAUCCACCUUACACAUGUACACCAAAAGUGGUUGUGAAAAAAAAAGAAUGUAAGCUAAUGAACAACUUGAACAACUUCAAUGGAAUGAUUAUACGUGGUAUGAUUGGAAGAGAAGAAAUAAAGAAGGAAGAAUCACCUGUAAUCCAACUAACAUACAAUCACCAUGAUUGAAAAUCUUAAACACAACUUGAUUUCAGUGACAGUAAAGUAGAGUAGAAAGUAAGAUCUUACAGGUUUUCCCUUUUCUAAUUCAAUCAAAUAGUUGCUUGAAAGGGGCAUUUGCAUUCUUUACAUCUAUCAAAUCCUACCAUACCACAAGGACUCCUAGACGUUAACAACUUUCAAUCUCCAAUAUUACCCAAAAUGAACUCAUAAGCACAAAAGGAAACACAUGAAUAGAUGAAGCAUACAAUUUAGGGAAAUAGAAGCAGAGAAUACGGUUUUAGGAACCGAUGGAAAUAAGAGGAAGUGGCGACAUAUUAAUCGAUGAAGUUUAGAUAUACAAAAUUCCCUAGUGAAAAAAUAAUUAAAGCUUGACCUCUGAUAUUCAAAAGAACGAGGAUUAGAAAAGGAUGAUCUUUAUAAAUAAGAGAUUCAAAUCAAACACGAAACCAAAAGUGGCAUUUCUUCAAGGGAUAUCAAAGUACAUAGAACUUACUCAAGCCAUGGUUGUAGAGGACCUCCACCGUCAUACUCAGAACUGGUGGUCACGGUGUGUGGUGGUGGCGUUUAGGAGGUUGUGGUCAUGUGGUGGCAGUGAGUAGUGAUAGCUUUGGGGAAAAACAAUGUAAGAGCAUUUGGAAAGGAGAUAAAGAAAACGAAAACCUCCGAUGGAGAUUUCAACGACGGAAUAGUGGAGGUCGGUGGGUGAUCGAUCGAACAAAUCAGGAGGGGAAGAAUGUGAUUUUGGGGUUGUGGUUUUCAAGAGAGGAGGAAUUGUGACAUCCCUAAACUUUUUCGGUUUGUUAUUCGUAUUUUCUGUUAAUGCCUUU
rnacentral:lncRNA from 1 species